GGUUAUUUAUAUCCUGUAGAAGUCGGUGGUAUUAAAUCCACUCAAGAAAUAAGAGAAGUCAGCAGCUAAGUCACGCAAAACCUUUGUCAAAAGAUUGUAGGGUGAAUGUGUUUUUUUGCAUCCAAUGCUUUAUGUGUGGGUCUAAUACAGAUUCUGUGCAUGCAUCUGCUGCAGGGACCUUUUCAGAAGAGCCUCUUAAGACACAUGUUUCGGAAUGGGGUCAAAUGCGUGCUGCUGUAUGACCAGCCUAUUUGAACUGCUUAAGCAUCAACUAAUUAAUCUGCAAGUGAAGAACACUUUCAGCAUUACUCUAAAAUUAGACAAUCUCAGGAGGAAACGAGGAUUUCAGAGGGGAGUCAGAUGGUUUUGCAGACCACUGCAUCAUUUACUUUUUCAUCACUCAGAUGAGCUUGUGUCGAAUGCUAAAUUUUCCCUACUUCAGCAACUAGCUUGUGUAUGAAAAAUUAUGCCUCCAAAUCCUACGGAAGUAUAACAACCACAGAAGAGAUAAAACCCAACAGCAUCAACAACAGAGAAGAUCAGUUCAGGAAGAUAUGAAACCCUUUGUAAUAAAGAAAGCAACACUGUGAA
rnacentral:lncRNA from 1 species